rnacentral:rRNA from 1 species
CGGCGGACGGGUGAGUAACGCGUGGGUAACCUGCCUCAUACAAGGGGAUAACAGUUGGAAACGGCUGCUAAUACCGCAUAAGCGCACAGUACCGCAUGGUACGGUGUGAAAAACUCCGGUGGUAUGAGAUGGACCCGCGUCUGAUUAGGUAGUUGGUGGGGUAACGGCCUACCAAGCCGACGAUCAGUAGCCGACCUGAGAGGGUGACCGGCCACAUUGGGACUGAGACACGGCCCAA